rnacentral:rRNA from 1 species
AUGGCACAGUGGAUCUCGUCGACGCCGUGCGACGCGUCCGGCUGCGAGGCGACAGAGGAAGCACCGCUGCUGGACGUUGAGAAGGGCGUACCCGAAGAACACGCCACGGCGUCGCCUGCGGACGAUGGGGGCGUGGAAGCGACGAAGUGGCUGUCCUGCCGGCGCUUUUUCCAGGUGUUCUUGGCCGUUGUGUGGCUGUACAUGGUGAAUCAGAUGAGGAUAGCCUAUAACGCCUACGAUGACGACGAAACGAGACCGUUCAUGGUGUUUCUGCUGGUAGUGAUGGCCUUGAGUGUCGCCAACGUGUUUCUCUUGUUCAGCACACAGCCUUUGUACCCUCCGGCACAAUCUGCCUCCGUGCUUCACUGA